UCUUGAAGCAAGACAAAGAGCUGAGCCUAACCCUGUAUUGUACAUCGCAGCUGUGGGACCCUGGAGGCAGACUAUGCCCAGAGACCCUAUACAUCCUACAUCAUGAGCUCUACAAGGUGGGGAUCGGUGCCUUCCUGACUAUCAGCAAAUGGCUUCCUCUGCUCUGCCUUCCCUUCCCAUGUCUACUCAAGCCUCAAUCAAGAGAAAAAAAGAAGGCAUUUCAUGGCAUCAUAAACAUCGCACUUUAUUUUUCAUCUCACGGAGCCUGUCUGGGUUUGGUUACGCUCGGGAGCUCGACUAGGACUCAGAAGCCAACACACACAUGAAAAAUCGCGUCACUGCCGCCACUAAGGCGCACGAAGGAGCAGACGCGGCUCUUGGCGUCCAUCUGUGUGUGUCCAGUGGUCAUCAAUCACUCCUGGAAUGGGACCUGCGUGGGUGGAGCAGCACUCUAGUCCUCGGUUCAGCUUCCUAGAAUGCCUCUGCGUGCAAAUGACACAUCUUCAGAACUUUAAACCUCAGCCAAUGAAACUUCAACCUAAGAAGAGCCACUUCCCACUUUCUAGGGUUCUAUAUACAGUCCUGAUUCACCCCAAAUUAAGUAUAUGUUUUGUUGACUAU